rnacentral:lncRNA from 1 species
UUCUUCAUGACUAGCACCCAGCAACAUGAUCGAACCUUCUUCAGGACUAACACAGGCAUGCAUGUGAUCUAACCUUCUUCAGGACUAGAACCCAGGCAGAAUGUAAUCUAACCCUAUUCAGGACUAGAACCCAGGUAGCAUGUGAUCUAACCUUCUUCAGGACUAGAACCCAGGCAGCAUGUGAUCUAACCUUCUUCAGGACUAGAACCCAGGCAGCAUGUGAUCUAACCCUCUUCUCCAGACACAGUGUAAUUAACCAUUCCACCCCUCCAUCUCUCUCCUCUCCCCCUAGCCCCAUUCUUAACACCGAGUCCCACUCUUCAUCCCCUCGUUCUUUACCCCUCACUUUUAUCUCCCCCACUCUCCAUCUCCUUGAGGCCUCCCUCUCUCCUCUUUCCUCCCUCUCUCCUUCCUCUCUCCUCCCUCUCUCCUCUUUCCGCCCUCCUCUUUCCUCCCUCUGUCCUCUCUCCUCUUUCCUCCCUCUCUCCUCUCUUCCUCAGACGUAAGGGAGGA